rnacentral:lncRNA from 1 species
GGGGUUAGGAGACAUUGUAGGGAUUGUCAGUUCUUGGAUUUUGUUAGUGCUCCUAAGAGGCUAUUAUCAAGAGUUUUGCAGUUAUCCUGGUCUUGGCUGAUCAGUGUGGUUUGGGAUUCAGGCUGUCCCAUGGUCUAUCCUUGGCACUUUCAAUCUGACCAGACUUAGGCUGAGGCUGUAGCUGAGGCAAUUGAAAGUGUCAAAAAGCAGGGCUGAGGUUAGGGGAAACUUACCAACUCAUCGCUCUGGUACUGGAAUGCCUUCCGUGGAAACCCUCUGACUAAGCCUUCCUUAUUAUGCUUUGCUAAACUUCUUAGACUGAGAGAGUUCAUAUAUGGGAAUAAAAUGCCUCGGGUCUUUAAACUUUGAUCUCUCAUACACAGAAACACAUCAUGGGGUGAUGUGGGUUUAGCCUGUUUCUGUUUUCCCACCUUUCUUGAACGUCAUCUCUCCUGGUUAAAAAAUGCCAUGCUCACACGAUCAAGAGUUUGUGAUAAAGAUUUCCAGUCCCUACAACGACAUUUAAGAUGUUUCUGUUUCGGAGACUGUUUGGUACUUUUGUCAUUACCUCAGUGCAGUUGUCCUUGAUAUAAACAGAAAGGCUUUAAAAAAUUCAGUGAAUUCCAGUGUUGGUUAGCAUUAGUAUUGGCUCAUUCUGAGAGUCAUAUUGACCUCAAAGUGGAAGUUUAUCUUUUGAGGUUGCUAUGACUUUGGGGAGGAGGAUAGAUAUUGGAAAUUUCCAUGGAGAAUACUGCUUGGUUGACUUGUUUUUCUUCUCCAUGAUGUUAGAAGGAAAAUCUCCCAGACCAGAUGGCUUCCUCUUCAGUGAAAGUGGUGGCCCAUCUGCAGUGGUGCUGGUUUUACCAACAAAAGAACUCCAAGAGGGUGAUUCAUCUGGGACCCAGCCUUGGGAUGGGAAGAUGGUGGUUCUGCUGGUUUACAGGUGAACCCAGAACCAGAGAGGACAUUGACAGCUUGGAAAACCAGCGUGAAUUGGUGCUAACGUCCAGAUUUCUUGGCCCAGACCCUGAAAUCGUCUGCCUGGCCCUCCUAGUUCUUUGCUGCCUACCCUGCUUCCUCCUAUGGCCUGCACUUACUUGUGCCCCUCUCUGGACUCUGCUGGUUUACCUGGUGACUUACGGCUUUACUUUCAAGGCCUCCACGCCUCACCCCAUUCCAAGAGAAGCAAGUGACACCAGGAUGGACCACAGCAGCUUCACUCACACGGCAUGA